rnacentral:rRNA from 1 species
CCUACGGGAGGCUGCAGUGAGGAAUAUUGGUCAAUGGCCGGAAGGCUGAACCAGCCAUGCCGCGUGAAGGUCAGUGCCCUAUGGGCGUUAAACUUCUUUUGUGCGGGAGCAAUAAUGGUCACGUGUGGCCAGACGAGAGUACCGUACGAAUAAGCAUCGGCUAACUCCGUGCCAGCAGCCGCGGUAAUACGGGGGAGGCAAGCGUUAUCCGGAUUUAUUGGGUUUAAAGGGUGCGUAGGCUGUGAGGUAAGUCAGCGGUGAAAUGCCCCCGCUCAACGGGGUGAAGUGCCAUUGAUACUGCCAUGCUGGAAUGCGGAUGACGUGGGAGGAAUGUGUGGUGUAGCGGUGAAAUGCAUAGAUAUCACACAGAACACCGAUUGCGAAGGCAUCUCACGAAUCCGCGAUUGACGCUGAUGCACGAAAGCGUGGGUAUCAAACAGGAUUAGAUACCCCUGUAGUC